ACUGAACUCAUCGAUGCAUCACCUGAAGGUACUGCCUCUGAGUCUGGCCUGGCAGAAGAUUGUCCAAUGGAUGAUCCGGGUGAAUGUCAGGUUGGUCAAUGAACUCACAGAUGGAUCAACAGGAGCUGCUUGUGAGAAACCUGCAUCCUGACCUGUCUGCCUGCUCCUUGGAUUUCUCUUACCGCCUAACCCUGCCUGUGCUGUUGCCAUCGCGGACUGAUCACCUGGUUUUCUGACCUGCCUGCCCGCCCCUGGAUUCUCCUGCCGUCUACCCCUGCCUGUACUGUUGCCUUCGUGGACUGAUCACCCGGUAUCCUGACCUGCCUGCCCGCCCCUGGAUUCUCCUGCCGUCUACCCCUGCCUGUACUGUUGCCUUCGUGGACUGAUCACCCGGUAUCCUGACCUGCCUGCCUGCUUCUGGUUUCUCCUCUCUGUCGAUUCCUGCCUUUGCGCCUUCGUGGAUUGAUCUCCUGGUUACUGAACCUACCGGCCC
ensembl:lncRNA